ACGAACGCUGGCGGCGUGCCUAAUACAUGCAAGUUGAGCGCUGAAGGUUGGUACUUGUACCAACUGGAUGAGCAGCGAACGGGUGAGUAACGCGUGGGGAAUCUGCCUUUGAGCGGGGGACAACAUUUGGAAACGAAUGCUAAUACCGCAUAAAAACUUUAAACACAAGUUUUAAGUUUGAAAGAUGCAAUUGCAUCACUCAAAGAUGAUCCCGCGUUGUAUUAGCUAGUUGGUGAGGUAAAGGCUCACCAAGGCGAUGAUACAUAGCCGACCUGAGAGGGUGAUCGGCCAAAUUGGGAAUGAGACAAGGCCCAAACUCCUACGGGAGGCAGCAGUAGGGAAUCUUCGGCAAUGGACGAAAGUCUGACCGAGCAACGCCGCGUGAGCGAAGAAGGUUUUCGGAUCGUAAAACUCUGUUGGUAGAGAAGAACGUUGGUGAGAGUGGAAAGCUCAUCAAGUGACGGUAACUACCCAGAAAGGGACGGCUAACUACGUG
rnacentral:rRNA from 1 species